UUGGAGGGCAAGUCUGGUGCCAGCAGCCGCGGUAAUUCCAGCUCCAAUAGCGUAUAUUAAAGUUGUUGCAGUUAAAAAGCUCGUAGUUGAAUUUCGGGGUCAGUAGGUUGGCCAUGCCACUGGUAUGUACUGGUCUCACUGAUUCCUCCUUCCUGAUGAGCUGUAAUGCCAUUAAUUUGGUGUUGCGGGGAAUCUGGACUGUUACUUUGAAAAAAUUAGAGUGUUUAAAGCAGGCUAACGCCUGAAUACAUUAGCAUGGAAUAAUGAAAUAGGACGUUCGAUCCUAUUUUGUUGGUUUCUAGGAUUGACGUAAUGAUUAAUAGGGAUAGUUGGGGGCAUUAGUAUUCAAUUGUCAGAGGUGAAAUUCUUGGAUUUAUUGAAGACUAACUACUGCGAAAGCAUUUGCCAAGGAUGUUUUCAUUAAUCAAGAACGAAAGUUAGGGGAUCGAAGACGACUAGAUACCGUCGUAGUCUUAACCAUAAACUAUGCCGACUAGGGAUCGGAUGAUGUUAAUUUUUUAAUGACCCAUUCGGCGCCUUACGGGAAAC
rnacentral:rRNA from 1 species